ACCUGUUUGUUGCAGGAUUCAGUCGGCUGAGACAUCACUUUUGGGGAACAUUGAAGAAGAGAUCCAGUGUUGAAUUAGUCAUGUCUAAUGAAAUGCACUGAUAUAUGAUAAAUACCUAGCAUAUGGGCACACAACAAAUGCACCAUUCAUGCCCACUCUUUCCAGAAGGCACAUUGACAGUUCUCGUCUUUACUCACUGCCUGAACCUUUCCUUACCCUUUGACCAAACCUAACCACUUCUUACCUUUUUCUUUUGUUUUGCUUUGUUUUUCUGCAUCUCUAGGUAUUUGCCUCUGUUGCUCCCUUUGCCUGGAAGCUUACCUAGUCCCAUCCAUGCCUUUGGAAAUCACGCGAAAAUGCUUCGAGCUGGAUCCCACGUGUCAUCACCUCAACAAAAGCCUUUCCCUGAGCUGUUUAACCGACCGUGCUUCCUCAAAACAGUGCUUUUUUUACAUUAAAUGUUUUUGGCCACCCUAGCCCACUAAACACCCCCGAAGUUCCACAAUUUCUGCUGAGUUUACCCAGAUUGCUCAUGGAAGAGCCAACCUUUCGCUCUUCCAGCCCUGUGGGGUCAUACGGCUUCUUCACAUGCUUCACAAUCCACCUACUCGUGUAGUUUUCUCAAAUGCUAUUGGACGGUGUUUUCUUUGUGAUCAUUUUUCUCUGGACACGUCUUGGUUUGAUGAUUUGAUUCCAUGUUUGGGUUUUUAAUUCUUUUUUUUUAUUGUCUGAUAAAGGUUGCGAGGUUCCAAGAAACCAUCUGCGUGAUUCACUUUGUAUAAGGCCGUGCAAAAUUAGGCUCCCAAUAAUUUUUAAUGAUGAAUGCCCCCUUUUAAAAGGCAAACAAGAACUGUGGUUCUUUCCAUUUAAUAUCGAUUGCUGGCUAGGUUUGCUUCAUUGUGCUGUAAGGGAUUUGACUGGAUUAGUGUUUGUCCUGUUAUGACUUGUUAUGAUGUGUUUCCAGAAAAGAGAAGAAAGGGAAAGGAAAAUGUCUUCAUAGGUUUCUUGCAUCGUUUGUUCUAUGGCUGACUCAAUAUUAGGAAGCUUGCUUCCACUUUAGUCGUAUAACCGUAUCCUAGACCAAAGAUGUAUAUGGUCAGGUCAAAGAACGUGUUAUCGUUGAGCAUGCUCCGAUGUUAGCGAAAGCUGUGUUCCAAGUGUAUCGCACUAUGUACACUAAGGUCAUGACCGCUCACACCAACAGUCAAUGUUAUCGGGCACUUAGAAAAGAGUGCACAUCACAUAACUCGUCAAUGUACUUAGAUGGUUAAGAUAAACCCAACGCCUCAGUCUUGGUAUGUUGCGAUAGUCCACGCCAAGAAGGUAAACAAAGUUUAUAAAAAGUUCCUUUUCACGUGUUCUGUGUGAAAUCUGCUGGCACCUUCAAUUCUGACUAACUAUUUCAAUACAGCUUCCUCUAUCACAGCUGGUUGCCUGUGAAUGAGAAAUAUUUAAAUACACUGCUAAAUUUUCUAAA
rnacentral:lncRNA from 1 species